rnacentral:lncRNA from 10 species
GGCCGCAUUCGUGCCCACUGGCCCCGGCUGCGGCAUCGAGGGCGACCCUGCACACACCCCUCCUCGCCCUGGCCAGCCGAUAAGAGGGCUAGCCUCAGUGUGGGGGUCUGUCUUCUAAAGGGGUUGUCACCCAUCCUUAUUUCUUUUAAUGCAGCUUUGGGGAAGGUGAACAGCCGCUCUGAGAUCAUUUCGCAUAACGGUCUGAACCAUCGUCUUUUAAACUGUGACCUGUGUGGGGGUGCCUGUCUCACUUUAAGGUCCUCCCUUCCCCCAGCCGUCACCCCAUUUACAGGCCAUCCUUAGUGACUUAGUGACAAGUCAACCGUGAGGGGGAAAAAACACAACUCAAUACCCACAAAGCGUUGAGACUUCUAGAAGGAGUGCAGUCACCAACCCCCGCCUUCUGUCAUUUAUCCUGACAUUUUCCAGACGGGGUUUCACCGUAUUAGCCAGGAUGGUCUCAAUCUUCUAACCUCGUGAUCUGCCCACCUCGGCCUCGCAAAGCGCUGGGAUUACAGGCGUGAGCCUCCGCGACCGGCCAGAACUAGCUCUUCUUAAGGAUGUGACAGUGAUCUGCACUAGAGCUUCAGGCAGCUAAGGAUAUCUGAAAAGGAGAGACUCUAUGGAGUGUGGAUGUAGAAAAGGAGUUAUUCCUACCGGAAAAAAAUGAACUGUGGACACAGUCACUCAAGACCAGAGAAACAACCACUAUGAGUAAGUAGCUUCAAUUUCACUGUUACCAGGAGGGCACACACCAGAAAGCCUGGGACAAAGCCUGGGCUAGAGCCCUCAGGAUUCAUUCUCAGGCUUCCUGGUGCUGUGGUUCAACAGCCUUUGUGGGGAUGGGGAGAACCAGAGACUAUCACCAUCACAUGUAAAAAAUAUUACCACAGCAACAGCUGUCAAAAACCAGCUGGAGCUGAAGUUACACACCAUUUGAAAUCCACACUGUACUUGCUUUCUUGUGAUGGGCUUGAGACAUGUGCAGAGACACCUUAAACAUGUGUAGGUGACCACCCUUUUGAAAGGCAGAGGAGGGCCUCUUCAUGAACUCUUUCUACUCAUUUGUUUUCCUAUCAGUUCACCAUUUCAACUAGAAAAGAUGC